rnacentral:lncRNA from 1 species
UUUUAAGGAAGUGCCAAAUAAGGAAUUCUCUCAAUUUCAAGUGGGUCUUUGCGAACAUGGUAGCAAGUAUUUUGUGCUAUCAAGUUAAAAUGUGUAUAUACAUCUCAUUAUAGAGAACAAUCCAACAUGCUACCUAUUAGAGAGGAUUAAACUAUGGAUUUUUUUUUCAUCGCGCACAUGGAUUUGGCGUGCCUCUGCGUCAUUUGGCGCGACGGGUCCACUAGUACUCUAUAUAAGCAGGGAGAAGGACACCAGGCUGAAGGUUGAUCUCUCUUGUAAACUUACAUGCAAAGGCAAAAACACCACACACAGAAGUAGGGUCUCCUCCGGCGAAGGCCCAAAUGUGUAUAAACCCUUAUGCAUACUCUCAUCUAUAACUUUCGAUGGACACGACGCUCCUCCAUACACAUCCCUAUACAAACAAUACGGUGGUCAUACUACCAUUAAUACAUGUGACCACGCAAAUCAUCGUAUGGUUGAAUAGUUGUGAUAUAGGGUACAGCUGAGCCAGGGCCCGUAAACAGAUUUCCGCUUGUCCAUCCCAUAGUCGAACUAGUAGUUAUAAGAUAUCACUAAAAUAUACUCUAGAAGAGAGAAUAUAGACAACAAUAGGCCACAAUAUUUAACAAUCAUCCCACUGGUAACAUUUCAUCCAGACCGAGAAACUCGAGUGAAACUUGCGUGUUUCAGCACAACGAACAGGCCAACAUGUUACACUUGUCCAACUUGAGUUGUUGGUAUCCUGUAGGCGGAGACCAAAACAGGUCGUUUGCACAACAAUAUAGACAUCAUCCUUCAUGCUUAGCAAUGGUGGGGAGGUCGUCGUCCUUUUCAAUUGCAAGAUUAGUGCGUCAAGAUCAAGUGAGGCGUGAUUUUAGCCAGUAAAUCGUUGUUGGAUUCUCCCUGUUACCAAAAUGGUAGCUGCUUCUACAAUCGCACGACUCUGCUUUCUAGAUCUUCUGGACACUGUAUCCAGCUUCUUCAGUAUUCAAGCCGUCGUUCCAGCUCUGAAACUCUGACCCUCCGAACUGUACUUCCUUAAUGCCCAGAUGACUGCAGAGAACCAAACAAACCCAAAUAAGAUUGAAUUGUUCUUGCAUAUAUGAAUACCGUAAUAGAAACUUGACAAAGUGCAGAAAAAUGCGAAGGUAGCAGUGUCAUUCUAGCACUGUACCGCCCGGGGAACUAGCAGUCAGGCAGAUUCAUUUUUGUAGAGGAUUGGUGCAACUCACGAUAUAUUGAUCGGGUGCAUAUGCACAUAUAUAGGUAAAAAGGGAGCCACGUCCUCAACUAUACAAGGAAGGAGGAGGGCUUGUUGUACAAGAAAUACACAUGCGAUAUAUACAUCUCAAC